GUGGGGUAGGGGAGCGUUCUGUAAGCCGUUGAAGGUGGUCUGUAAGGGCUGCUGGAGGUAUCAGAAGUGCGAAUGCUGACAUGAGUAACGAUAAAGGGAGUGAAAAACUCCCUCGCCGGAAGACCAAGGGUUCCUGUCCAACGUUAAUCGGGGCAGGGUAAGUCGACUCCUAAGGCGAGGCCGAAAGGCGUAGUCGAUGGGAAACGGGUUAAUAUUCCCGUACUUCUUACAAUUGCGAUGGGGGGACGGAGAAGGCUAGGUGGGCCUGGCGACGGUUGUCCAGGUUCAAGUAUGUAGGCGGGUGGUUUAGGUAAAUCCGGACCGCUACUAACGCUGAGAUACGAUGUCGAGCACCUACGGGUGUGAAGUCAUUGAUGCCAUGCUUCCAGGAAAAGCCUCUAAGCUUCAGAUUGUAAGGAAUCGUACCCCAAACCGACACAGGUGGUCGGGUAGAGAAUACCAAGGCGCUUGAGAGAACUCGGGUGAAGGAACUAGGCAAAAUGGUACCGUAACUUCGGGAGAAGGUACGCUCUUAUCAGUGAAGUCCCUUGCGGAUGGAGCAG
rnacentral:rRNA from 1 species